GCCCAAGCAGCGCCAUGGCGAUGGAGUGUAGGAAGUUUGCUUAUUCUGAGCAGAAGCAGCCUAUGGGAUGUCACGUUCUCUUCUCACCAACUGUGUGCUUGUGGAAGCGGGGUGACCUCAAGCCUGGAGCCGGGGAGUUACAGGAGUCUUGAUUUGUGGUUCCAGAAGCUGGUGAGGUCCGGGCUACACCGUGCAGUAAGAGUUUCGGCAGGGAGUUUCUCCGUCUUCAGUUACCCGAGGCCACCAGCAGCAGCUCACAUACCAGGGCACCACAGAAUCCCUUCUAAAUUAUUGUCCUCUGAUACAGCAGUCCUUAACCUGCUUACCAGCAGGCAGCCAGCGUUGGAAACCUUUCCAGUGAGCACAGGAAGAGUCAAGCUAGCUUUUUUUUAUAAGUUUUCUCAGGCUGCUAAAAAUAUAUUCCAGCAUAUGAAGAAAUAUUUCAUAUCUGUCAGUGGUCCUCCCUUCUCUGGUAUUAAUUUCUAGUUGAGGGGGGUUCUGUGGUGUCAUAUAACAGAAGCUGUAGAUAAUUUGCUCAGAGGAGAAUUCACUGGGAAGAUGCGAGUGUCUUUGGUAGAAAGCUGGGAAGGCCAGACAGUCCUAGGGGACCUGCUACCGGAGCUCUGGCAACGAUGCCCCAGGAGGAACACCUGGACCUCAGCAUGACCAGUGGGAAACUCGACCAUUUGUCACCUUGUUCGUCUGCUAGCACUCAAUGCAAUAAGGAUCCAGUGGCGCUGUUUGGAUCCUGGCCUUGUCCCUGACAAGCAAACAAGGCUGCUGAUGGACAGUUUCACCAGACCCCUGCCAAGGGAAAAGGCACUUCCUCGGAAGGCAUUACGGAUGCUCUUGGGAAUGGAAGCUGGGAAGCUAAAAACAGAAGACCAAUAUUAAUAAAAUGGCCUAACUUCCAUGGCA
rnacentral:lncRNA from 1 species